rnacentral:sRNA from 1 species
CAGCUGUUGAGGCUGGAGUCGCUCAGUC